CUGCGUAGGGCUUGUAGCUUGUACGGCGGUGGGCGGCUUCAUUGGAAAAAGGAUGCAAACCGCUAACGGGAUUCAGCACAGAGGCCGGGCCUGUGCCUCAGUCUCCCAACUUCACAGCCCGUCAAAGGAAGACCAGGGCGGGGGCGGCGGGUGGGAGGGAGGCCAGUGCCCCCGCCCCAGGCUUCACCCAUGCAGUGUCCAGGGAAGAAAACCCGCGGCUCCUGACCCUUGGCUACAUUAUCUGCGUUCUUCCUGGGACCACGGGACACACCCCGGCCACCCCUCACCGCUGCGACUCUCCAGAGAACACAGGAGCUCCCCGGCUUCCGGGCAGAACUCUGCCUCCCCGAAAUUCCAAGCUCCGGGCAGAACCCUGCCUCCCCGAAAUUCCAAGCCCUUUAUCUCCGUCACAGCCUGCCGGCAUUCCUGAGCCACCCCCCUGCUUCCCGAGCCUCUGCCCAGCCUUCUGUGCCCACCAGACCCUACGCCUGCUCCAGCCCAGCUGCCAGCCUGUCCCCCAAGGCCCCCCUGGUGGCACCGCACACCCCCCCCGGGUGCCCACUCUCGAGGGGCCAGUGCAGCACGGACCGGACGGGCAGGUCAGCGGUGCAAGAUGAAGUCCAGGGAGGAGUUAAAGAUCGAAACGACGAAAGGUAACCGGCAGAACGACCAGAUGGAAGUUCAAGUGCAACGGUCCACGGACAGGAAUGCUUCUCUCUCGAAAGCAUCCCCACCGCCAGCCGCCCCGCCGCGCCCACCAGCCGGCCCGAGAGGGGUGGACAGCCUCGAAGACCUAAAGGAAGGGGCCGGGCGCAUCUGCCGAGACCACCGCACCCGCCCACCGCACCCCCUCGGCAGCGGGGCCUGGGACCGGGACACAGCCACAGCCGUGCUGCUGCCAGCCACGGUGAGCUGGUCCUCACCACGUGUGCAGAAAACGUGACAUUCUCGGUCCUGGUGUGGCACCAACCAGGCAAGGCCACCACCUGAGUCACCCCCAGUCACCCCCUCGCAGGGCACGGAGCUCCUCCUCCCCUGCACCCGGCGCUGCUCUGGCAGCCGAAGGUUCCGCCCCGAACAGAACAGGAUUUCUGCCUGCUGGGGUCGCCAUGCAGGGGCCACCGACGGGGAACGUCAGGUCAAAUGUCACGACCGUGGGGGGAGGGGGGCUCUCGGGAAAGGGGGUCCCUUCCAUGCUGGAGUCUGCAGCCCUCCUCCCCCAGCGUCCUGCCUUCCCGGGGAACCCCCACAUCUCUUCCAGCAUGUGGCACCUGUGGCACCCAUGGGUGACACGGCCCCGGUGUCGUGAUGCCCCAGCCCGGCCCCUGAACCGUGCAUCCCUAUCUCCAUGGAACCUGCUAGAACGGGGGCUCCCCCAGCGCAGGGACCCGUUACCUUGUCCUCUGGGGGUUCUCGCCCCACCCACCCCCCAGGUAUGUCAAAGGACACGAGGUCUCUUUGGGGGUGUUGGCCCAGAGGAGGAAACCACAUGGCAGCCACUGGAGCCCCGCGGGUAUUGGGGGGGGGGGUUCCAGGCGGAGGCAGCCACCCCCCGAUCACAUGACCACAGUGUGGGACCAGUGAGUGGGAAACCCAAGGCUCUGAGCUGCCAGCUGCCUCCCAGUUAAAUGCAGCAAAACAAUCACAAAGUCCCGGCGAGUCACUUUUGAACCUGACAAACUGUGCGAUCCGUCUGGAAGAACCAGGCUCGUGAUGACCGCCUGGGCCCGUCUGGGCAGUAAGAGGAGGAGGGCGGGUUGUCACGGUGGGUGUGACUACGCAUGGCAGGCCAGGGUGGCAGGGCACGGUGACAGCCACCACCAUGCCCAGGAAAGAGAAGCGGGUCACCUGUCACCACCGGUCACCGUGGAAAGACCUGGCCGGGGGCUGUCAUGCCUCACGUGGAAACUGAUCAUGAAAACCGUAACUGAGCCGGUCACAAAGUUACGGCGAAGCCACAGUGUAGCAAAGCAGCUGCGAGAAGCCGGGCAAAGACGCUCCUUGCUCCACAACCGACCAGACCAGGACGUCACCCCACACCCAGCAGCCAGACCCCGAGGGGCGGGAGGGGACGGAAAUGACAAUGAGAUGAAAACUCCGGUGCGGUGGCGUUCACCCUGCAAGAAAGCUCCUCCCACGUUGGGCGGAAGGGGACGAGUUGGGGACAUUCCUACAUGUCAGGAGGACCGGACAGCUCCGAGACCCGGGGCACGAAGAAAACAGACGUCGCAGGGACGGGUGGAGCAGACGUCCAGGCCCAGUCGGAAACGCAAGGGGCCACGGAGGCGCCCCCAGUUCUAGACCCCGGGGGGCUUCCCGGAGAACGUUCUAGAACGUGAACCUCAAGGUGCACCUUCUUGACAUUUCACCGAGGGGAAACACAGGCCGAGGGUACAGAUGUGCGGCGUGCACGCUCAGCGUCGUUUAAAGGGUGACAGCGAGACAGCGAUGUCGCCACCGAUGGCAUGGUGCAGGUGAGCACCAGGUGAUGAGGGAGGGGCGACGGACCCACGCAGGCGCCGGAAGGACAGCCCGUGGGCCGCAGGCGUGACCACGCCGCCUUAACCGAGACAGAACGGCGGGCGCGCGCAGGGGGGCGCCCAAAGUAACGCGUUCCCCAAGGCGCUCAGGAUGCUGCUCCUUGGACAGCGAGAUUAAGGUUUCACCGUCCUCAUCCAUCCUGUCACUGUCUUCUCUUUCCAAUAAGCGAAUAUCGUGCACAUCACCAGAACGGAAAAUAAUAAAGUUAUUUCGAUUUGGGGACAA